UAUGAUUUCAUGUUUCCGUUUGGUGUAGCCAUACCAAACGUAACCAGUAGCCCUUAAUAGUUUCUUUUGUCUAGUCAUCUUACUCAUUUAUUAGUUAAUACAUAGAAUUUCAUUGUUAUUUGGCGUAUCAACACCAAAACGUGACCAACAACCCUUGAGAGUCUCUUCUGGCUAGCGAAAUUAUAAAGAAUUCGUGUAGUAACAAUAACUUGCUCUUGGGAAUUCAUUUUUGAAGGAAGCAAAACAGAGCUUUAUUAUACUCUUGAAAUUCAGCAUUUCAGCAAGUUGUGGUUGAAAGAGUGGGCUGGUUCUAACAUUAAUUAAGAUUAAUAGCUUGGGCAGUAGAUAUUGGACGUACAGCUUGACGACAAGGUAUGUAAAGCUAUCCCUUCUUUCUUUUUGGCAUGAAUUACAUAAAACGAGCGAACAAUGAACAUACAUGACUCCAAUGAAUUCUAGUUCUCAGUGGUACUUGACAUGAUAGUUGUCCUUGAUUCUCAAGUGUUGGUUCAUUCUAAUUAUUCUGUUGAGUAUCAGAUGAUGAUUUAAUUUGUAUAUGGUUGCUCCAGAUAUUCUAUUCGUGCAUAACGUUAUUACAUCAUUUCACCGAGUCCCGGGCCGGGCACAGACACUCAGUUUGGUGAUCCUCCGGCUUAGGACUUCUGCCCAGCUGCUUAGAGAGCUCUAUUGUUUCGGAGCUUGAGUUAUUUUGGGUACAGAUCCCUUUUGACAUAGACUUUGUUAUGCCCUUAGAAGUCUGUAGACAUGUGUGGGUUGUAAAUAUGAUCUGAUUAGCUAUACAGAUGUAGUUCGUCUUGGAUAUUCCCGUGUAUAGUGGCAGCCUUGUCGGCUUGUAUAUUUUGUUAUGUUUGAUUAACUGUGACUCCUCAGGAGACAGGUGCAUUCUGA